rnacentral:lncRNA from 1 species
AACGACACUGUGGUUCCAGGUGCUACUCCCGCUAUAACAAAGGAACUGGCAACCACGUCUAGGAAGAGGUAAGUUCCGCUUCGUCGCACUCCAACACAGCUUUAUUACAGGCCUUCAUGGUUCGUACAAACAAAAAAAUGUAACUGAUAGUGAUUAGUGUCCAUAUACUCAAUUUUAAAGAAAAAUGCAAAUAGGAAACAUUUUGUUGCAUCACCGACACAGUCCUCAAGAUCAUGCCUCUCAUGGGGUAUAGGUAUCUGUUAGCUUCAGUUAGGUUUAGUCUCCAUCAGAUUUACAUAGUGUUCACUGUCGACACAGUUUUCAUAGUUUUGACAGUUUAUCGGAUUUACACACGCUCGAUACGCUCAAUAUAGAUUGGCCCAGAGCAGACCUAACAAGGUAUGCUGGUUUGAUCUUAUGCUACAUACUUCGUCUAGAUCUGUACAUUUUAUGUGCCACACAAUCGUAGUUCCACAACUUAGACUUUACAUGAUGAAUCAACUGUGUCUGCACAUUUUGUUACAUGUAAUAAGUGUUAGACAUUUCUACUGACGUUGUUGUACACUUCUAUUCUCAAUUCAUCUUGCCUUGUCGGUGUUCUAUUGCUACGAUUUUUUUGUAUUGAUGGCUUACUCCAAAAAAAAUUAAGUGUUCUGAAUGUUUCUCACAACUGUGUUUCAGGUUACUACUAGAUCAUGGUUCGCCAUCGAUGCUAUGCGCAGGCCACGCUCGAUUUCUAUGCUUGUUGACGUGAACGUGCUUCGCUCCCUUCAUGUUUAAGCCUAAGCAGCUUGAUGUGCUUUUGUGUACAAUGAUCAUUUGCUUGUUGCAUCGUACAUGUAUAGUCUAUGGAGCUGCAAACUGUUAGAGUUAUGUAUUGUUGUACUGAUCACCGUUUAACAACUGCAUGUACGCUGUCUUUUAGAGACAGUUGUGGAACCUGCGUCCACGCCAUAUGUAUUAUAUUGUCGUAUUGUAUCCUACAAUAUGUUUGUGUUCCUACAACGUGUUUGUGUUCCUAAACUGUGUUUAUAUAUGAUGUAUU